GGUUACGACGGAGUGAUUCGAGCUGGAUAGUCGCGGUGCUCUGAUUAUUUCGAUGGUAGAUUGGGCUACCAUGGCUUUCACGGGUACAGGGAAUUAGGGUUCGAUUCUGGAGAAGGAGCCUGAGAAACGGCUACUACAUCUACGGAAGGCAGCAGGCGCGUAAAUUACCCAAUCCUGACUCAGGGAGGUGGUGACAAGAUAUAACAACGCAAUUUCAUUGUGAUUGUAGUGAGGGUAUUCCAAACCGAACCACUAGUACGAUUAGAGGGCAAGUCUGGUGCCAGCAGCCGCGGUAAGCCACAGAGCAAAUAGCGUAUAUUAAAGUUGCUGCAGUUUAAAAGCUCGUAGUUGGAUUUCAACGGAUUGUGUACUCUCUCAGAGUAUGCACCCUACUAGUCUUUGACUUGUUACUGUGAGAAAAUUAGAGUGUUUAAAGCAGGCUAUUGCAAGAAUACAUUAGCAUGGAAUAACGAAUGUAUCUAGAAUCUUGGUUUAUUCUAGGUUUCGAUUAAUAGAGACAGUUGGGGGCAUUAGUAUUUAAUUGUCAGAGUGAAAUUCUUGGAUUUGUUUAAGACUAACGUAUGCGAAAGCAUUUGCCAGAUGUUUUCAUUAUCAGGACGAAAGAUUAGGGAUCAAGACAUCAAUAUGUCGUAGUCUUAUCUUAAACUAUGCGACUAGAUGAAUGGCAACUCACAUUCCAGUACCUUAUGAAAUCAAGGUCUUUGGUUCUGGGGGGAUUGGUUUCGA
rnacentral:rRNA from 1 species